UACGUAGGGAGCAAGCGUUGUCCGGAAUCAUUGGGCGUAAAGCGCGCGUAGGUGGCUUCGUAAGUCCGUUGUGAAAGUCAAAGGCUCAACCUUUGAAAGCCGAUGGAUACUGCGGAGCUAGAGUACGGAAGAGGCGAGUGGAAUUCCUGGUGUAGCGGUGGAAUGCGCAGAUAUCAGGAGGAACACCAAUAGCGAAGGCAGCUCGCUGGGACGUUACUGACACUGAGGCGCGAAAGCGUGGGGAGCGAACAG
rnacentral:rRNA from 1 species